UACGGAGGGAGCUAGCGUUGUUCGGAAUUACUGGGCGUAAAGCGCACGUAGGCGGCUUAGCAAGUUGGAUGUGAAAUCCCUCGGCUCAACCAAGGAAGUGCAUCCAAAACUGCUGAGCUUGAGUACUUAAGAGGAUCGCGGAAUUCCCGGUGUAGAGGUGAAAUUCGUAGAUAUCGGGAGGAACCCCAGUGGCGAAGGCGGCGAUCUGGGAAGAUACUGACUCUUAGGUGCGAAAGCGUUGUGAGCAAACAGG
rnacentral:rRNA from 1 species